rnacentral:rRNA from 1 species
CAGUAGCCGCGGGAAUACAGAGGGUGCGAGCUUUAAUCGGAUUUACUGGGCGUAAAGCGUGCGUAGGCGGCUUCUUGAGUCGGAUGUGAAAUCCCUGAGCUUAACUUAGGAAUUGCAUUCGAUACUGGGAAGCUAGAGUAUGGGAGAGGAUGGUAGAAUUCCAGGUGUAGCGGUGAAAUGCGUAGAGAUCUGGAGGAAUACCGAUGGCGAAGGCAGCCAUCUGGCCUAAUACUGACGCUGAGGUACGAAAGCAUGGGGAGCAAACAGGAUUAGAUACCCCUGUAGUCCCUGUCUCUUAUAA